AGAUAGACAUGUAGCCAUGGACAACUUGCCGAUUAUCUCUACUACACACACAUAAACUUUUGGAUCAUCUGGUAUUGGAUCUCAUUCAAUCGCAACACAAAUUAAAUUAGUGUUUUCAUUCUUCUAGUUAAUUUCAGUGUGCAUAACAGAAGGCUCCUUGUUUCUCUUGCUUGCUAAAAUUGCAGAGCAUGGGUAGAAACAAAGUUGUCACAUUUGAUGAAAAUUUUAUGUACCUAUAAACAAGAGAAGUAGUAGCCGCCGGCAAGUCAUCCUUGGCUGCAUCACAUAUAUAU
rnacentral:pre_miRNA from 1 species